rnacentral:rRNA from 1 species
CUCCCCCGUUGCUGACCCCAGGUUCGAUAGCGCCAAUUAGGCGCCACCUCGCCAAGAACCAACUUCGGUGAAGCGACGGGCGGUGUGUACAAGGCCCGGGAACGUAUU